GCGGAUAUGGCGGAACUGGCAGACGCGCAGACUUAGGAUCUGGUGGGGGACCCCGUGCAGGUUCGAUUCCUGUUAUCCGCA
rnacentral:tRNA from 1 species